rnacentral:rRNA from 1 species
GACGUACGCUGGCGGCGUGCUUAACACAUGCAAGUCGAACGGAAAGGCCCUGCUUUUGUGGGGUGCUCGAGUGGCGAACGGGUGAGUAACACGUGAGUAACCUGCCCUUGACUUUGGGAUAACUUCAGGAAACUGGGGCUAAUACCGGAUAGGAGCUCCUGCUGCAUGGUGGGGGUUGGAAAGUUUCGGCGGUUGGGGAUGGACUCGCGGCUUAUCAGCUUGUUGGUGGGGUAGUGGCUUACCAAGGCUUUGACGGGUAGCCGGCCUGAGAGGGUGACCGGCCACAUUGGGACUGAGAUACGGCCCAGACUCCUACGGGAGGCAGCAGUGGGGAAUAUUGCACAAUGGGCGGAAGCCUGAUGCAGCAACGCCGCGUGCGGGAUGACGGCCUUCGGGUUGUAAACCGCUUUCGCCUGUGACGAAGCGUGAGUGACGGUAAUGGGUAAAGAAGCACCUGCUAACUACGUG